UUCAUAGUAGAUUUCAGCUUUUUUAGAUUUUUUUCAGAAAGGUAACUGGGUUUGUGCACAGUCUUCUUUGAACCCAAUACCUAAUAUCAACAGUCAUAUUACAGAAAAAUUAGAGGAAAUGGUUAAAAAGUAUGAAAUUACAAGUGACAAGUGGCGAGCUUUUGGAUACCAGAAAGCAAUCCAGGUUCUUAAGAAACAUCCAACGCAAAUUACAACUUGGGAGGAAGCAAAGGCUUUACCAGCCAUUGGAGCAAAGCUGGCUGAUAAAAUUUGGGAAAUUAUAGAAAGUGGUGGAUUACGGAAGUUAGAUGAAUUUAAAUCCAACGAGGAGAUAAAAACUUUGGAAUUUUACCAAUGUUUGGGGUGCUGGGGCUGUAACAAGUCGACAGUGGUAUCAGCAGGGAUUUAGAACACUAGAAGAUCUCAAAACAAAAGCAAAGUUGACACAUCAACAAGAAGUUGGUUUGAAGUACUAUGAUGAUAUUUUAGAUAGAAUGUCAAGAGAAGAGGCUGGCGAAAUUGAGGAAACAGU